CAGUCGCCGCGGUAAUACGAAGGGGGCUAGCGUUGCUCGGAAUGACUGGGCGUAAAGGGCGCGUAGGCGGCUGACACAGUCAGAUGUGAAAUUCCUGGGCUCAACCUGGGGACUGCAUUUGAGACGUGUUGGCUUGAGUGGAGAAGAGGGUCGUGGAAUUUCCAGUGUAGAGGUGAAAUUCGUAGAUAUUGGAAAGAACACCGGUGGCGAAGGCGGCGACCUGGUCUUUAACUGACGCUGAGGCGCGGAAGCGUGGGGAGCAAACAGGAUUAGAUACCCGAGUAGUCCCUGUCUCUUAUAC
rnacentral:rRNA from 1 species